UCCGCUGUGGUGUAACGGCAGCACGUCGGCCUUUGGAGCCGUACAGUCCAGGUUCGAAUCCUGGCGGCGGAGCCG
rnacentral:tRNA from 1 species